AUACAUCAUAAAAGUCUUGAAAUAGAAAAUGACAUACAUAAUCAUGGCUAAAAUUAAUAUAUUAAAUAUUCCUUAAUCAGCAUUUUUAAAAAGUAACUUCUAAAAAUAAAUUGACAGCUAAUCAUCUCAAGACAAUACAACAUUUCUUUAUACAUAAUUUAAAAGCAGUGUAAGGGAGUAACCAAAACGUUGUAUUUGGAUUACCUCCCUUACACUGUUUUAAAUUAUCUUAAUUGUUCAUUAACCAUUACUUUAUUCAUAAUUUAAAAGCAGUGUAAGGGAGAUAAUUUCAAUGAUGUAUUUGAUUUAUCUCCCUUACACUGCUUUAAAUUAUGUUUUGUACUAAAGUAUUUGUCCAUUAACCAGGACAACCUUGUUUUUCCCCCUUUUUUGCCCCUAAUUCUUAAACGGUUUGAGCCAUAACCCCCCAAAGCAAAUCCUAACCAUCCCUUUGUGGUAUGGAAACUUGUAGUAUAAUUUCAGAGAGAUCCAUACACCGUUCCACAGUUAUUGUCUGGAAACUAGAAAAUGCUUAUUUUUGGCCCCUUUUUGGCCCCUAAUUACUUAACUGUUGGUACCAUAACCCCCAAAAUCAAUCCCCACCUUCCUUUUGUUGUAUUGAACCUUAUGGUGAAAUUUCAUAGAGAUCCAUUCACUUAAACUAAAGUUAGAGUGCGAAAACUAAUGCGUCUUCGGACGACGACGCCGGAUGACGACAACGACGACGCCAACGUCAUACCAAUAUACGACCACAAAAAUUUGUUUGCAGUCGUAUAAAAAUCAC